GACAGAGGGUGCAAACGUUGUUCGGUAUUACUGGGCGUAAAGCGCGUGUAGGCUGCUUCGCAAGUCGGGUGUGAAAGCCCUGGGCUCAACCUAGGAAGUGCACUCGAAACUGCGAAGCUUGAGUCCUGGAGAGGAAGGCGGAAUUCUCGGUGUAGAGGUGAAAUUCGUAGAUAUCGAGAGGAACACCGGUGGCGAAGGCGGCCUUCUGGACAGUGACUGACGCUGAGACGCGAAAGCGUGGGGAGCAAACAGG
rnacentral:rRNA from 1 species